UACGGAAGGCAGCAGUGGGGAAUAUUGCACAAUGGGCGAAAGCCUGAUGCAGCUAUGCCGCGUGUAUGAAGAAGGCCUUAGGGUUGUAAAGUACUUUCAUCGGGGAGGAAAAAACAAAACUAAUAAUUUUAUUUCUUGACGUUACCCGAAAAAGAAGCACCGGCUAACUCCGUGCCAGCAGCCGCGGUAAUACGGAGGGUGCUAGCGUUAAUCAGAAUUACUGGGCGUAAAGAGCACGUAGGUGGUUUUUUAAGUCAGAUGUGAAAUCCCUGGGCUUAACCUAGGAACUGCAUUUUGAAACUGAAAUACUAGAGUAUCGUAGAGGGAGGUAGAAUUCUAGGUGUAGCGGUGAAAUGCGUAGAUAUCUGGAGGAAUACCUGUGGCGAAAGCGGCCUCCUAAACGAAUACUGACACUGAGGUGCGAAAGCGUGGGGAGC
rnacentral:rRNA from 1 species